rnacentral:rRNA from 1 species
CCGAGUUGUAAUUUGUAGAAGAUGCUUUGGGUAUGGCCCCGGUCUAAGUUCGUUGGANCACGACGUCAUAGAGGGUGAGAAUCCCGUAUGUGACUGGGUGCUUUUGCCUAUGUAAAGCUCUUUCGACGAGUCGAGUUGUUUGGGAAUGCAGCUCAAAAUGGGUGGUAUAUUUCAUCUAAAGCUAAAUAUUGGCCAGAGACCGAUAGCGCACAAGUAGAGUGAUCGAAAGAUGAAAAGCACUUUGGAAAGAGAGUUAAACAGUACGUGAAAUUGUUGAAAGGGAAGCGCUUGCAACCAGACUUGCACGCUGUCGAUCAUCCAGGCUUCUGUUUGGUGCACUCGACAGUGUUCAGGCCAGCAUCGGUUUUGGUGGUGGGAUAAAGGCCUUGGGAAUGUAGCUUCUUUCGGGGAGUGUUAUAGCCCUCGGUGCAAUGCCGCCUACUGGGACCGAGGACCGCGCUUCGGCUAGGAUGCUGGCGUAAUGGUUGUAAGCGACC